UGGGAUUAUAGGCGUGAGCCACCGCGCCCAGCCUCCAUGCUUAUUGAUUUAUUUUCUAUUUCUAUGUCACUAGAAUGUGAGCUCUAUGAGGGCAAGGGUUUUGUUUUGCCUGUUUGUUCACUGCCCUAUCCCAGUCCCUAGAUGAGUGCCUGGCACACAGCAGAGACUUCCUAAGUGCUUGUUGAAUGAGGAUGGAAUUACUCUUGCUGUAUAACAACCUGCUGUCUGCAGGACCCUGGGCCUGAGGAAAUGCCUGCAGGUGGAAGGGCAGUGGGCCAGUGCUGCACAGUGCACAAUGAUCAGAGAGGCCUUAUGUGUGGGGAGUGGGUACGGGCAGGUGGGUGAUGGGGUGCAGAAUUCUAAACCUCUAGGGAUGAAUGGCAGAGGCCACACCCUCUUGAUGAGUGGCCCUUGAGCCCACCAGACAAGGGGAAUUGUUGGCUGGGGUCCAGGUCCAUGGUCUCCCUGACUUAGGGUGGCCUUGCCCGGUGCUCUGAGAAUGGGGCCAAGGAAGUCUUAGUGAUUCUGUCCCUUACCCUUCAAGGACAAGUUGGAGGCAGGCCCUGGUCUCAAACAUCUACAAAAACAAUUGUUUCUGAACUUUCUGCCCAGACACGUCUCAUGGCCACUGAGUCAUGCAUCAAUGAUGGGUGUGGGUGUGUGGAUGGAGGUAGCCAAGCCCAUUGAUAGAGGGCUGAGACAUACUCCUCGCUAAUCAGCAAGUUAACAAGCUCUCCGAUGAGGAGGCGGUGAUUAAUGAACCAAUCGGCUUGCCCUAUAAUUGGGGAGUUAAAUUGGAGGAUGGGGGUAUGAUGGAUAGGGAGAGCUUGGAGGGAUGUGUGAGGCUGGCUUCUGGUCCACACUGAGACUACCCAGGCACCCAUUUACUUUGGCUAUAAAUGAGGAAGUGACUUCUUCAGAGGUUGUAGCCUAAAUUCAAGCCAUCCCAUACCCUUUAGCUUCUAUAAUGUCUCUCCUCUCUUCCCAUCUGUCCUUGGACCCCAUAUUCCCCAAAGACAUGACGGAGUUCCAGGGAUGUCAGAUUCCCUGUGGGCAUCUCACAGGCUCCAUCUCUCUGCCCAGAAUCAGUGCACUAGAAACCCCCUAUCACCACCAUGGUUAGUGCCGCAGGGUCAGAAGAGCAAACAGCCCCCUACUCUCUGGUAUCCUUGCCCCUGUUAGCCUGCAGGGUCCUUCUGUGGGCCCUGACUCCUGGGAUCACAGAUGUCCUAACCAGCUCCCACUGCCCCCUCCAUCCUAGGCUGCACACCUGUCUUUUGUCUUUCCAUAGAGGAAUGGAAUUCUUUGAUUUCUGCUGUCACCCUCCAAACAGGACAACAGCUGUCUCUCUGUUUGUCUCUCUGUAUCUAUGUUCUGGGAACCCCUCAGAUUGAGGAUCCCCCAUGGUACGGCCAUGUCUCUCCUUUGAGACGGGUUCUUGAAGGACAGGGCUGUGCCUUACCCCCUGGAUGAGGAGUCCCUGAGAAGAAUGAUUUUUCUCCUUCCUCCAAAGGUAGGAUCUAUAUCCCCUGUCCUGGUGUCCUCUUCCACCUCCAUGCUCAGCAGGGCACCCUGGUGUUUCCUGGGAGGUGGAGUCCCAUGGGGCCUGACUGACUGAUAAGGAGCCAUUUGCAGAGAAUGCCCAUGAUUGAACCCAUAAAAGGGUGACUGAGAGAGCCCUGAACUCUCCCCCUCAGGAGAGCUCUAAAAAUAGCACCCACAGCCAUCUGUCCUGGGGCUGGAGGGGCUGGCUCAGAACCAGCGACCUGGACAAGUUGGCCCCUUCAGCCCCCAUAGGCUGAUGGGACAUCUGGAAGUAUUGGAAGUCUGGCCAGGCCAGGGAGAGGAAGCUGGAAGGGCUUUAUGGAGAGACCUUCCCACAGCCCUCUCUCCUACCGGGCAGGUGGGUUUGAGGGGCUUGGCAGUCUGGAGGCCCUUCCCCUACUCAGCCUCCCGUAGUGGGUGGUGGGCCCCAGACAUAGCCUUCGGGUCCCAGCUCCCAGGCCUGCCUCUGGCACCACAUGGCUACUCCAGGUGCUGAGCCUUUUUGCCCCUCACAAUUGAGAGGUCCUCUUCCUGGGGUCUGCCUCACCCUCCUUUUCCUGUUUGAAUCAUGGGUGACUUUGGCUGCUCCAUCAGGGAUUCAGUUUCCUCAUCUGGAAAAUGGAGAUAAACUCAGCUCAUUGUUUUGUGAUGUCUGAAAUUAUGUGCUACCUAGUGCACAGUAGGUGCUUAAUAAACAUGAGUCCUUUCCUUCAAAGGAUCUGGGCUUCAGAGGCCAGUGGAGACUGCCAUGGGCUGGGGACAGUGGCAUGUGCUUGGGAAGCCUUGGCAUCACUCAGGCCCAGAAGACACCAGUACCCUGAUUGACACCUGCAUAGGGGUGGGGACAUUGCCUGGGGAGGGGGCUCUAUGCCACACAUGGCUGGACCGGGGUCUUUGUGUGCCAGGCUGGAUACACAGGCAGCCGACUCAGCUGCUUCUGGUGGGGGGACUGGCUUCUGCCUCCUCCUGCCUCUUUCCCCAACUCUUUAAUGGAGAGAGAACAUAAUGGAGUGUUCAGAGAGGUCUCUCCCCCAGGAUACCAUAAACUACAGGUCAGGAGCCAAGGUCAGGUGCUCCCACCCCUGCCUCCAGGAGAAAGACUUUUCCCCCAGAGGUCCUGUCACUCCUAAGCCCUUCUCCAAGGUAUUACUGAGCAGAAGCUGAAAAUGAUUGUGUUUUGGAAAGAGUGGUCACAGAUCCCACAGGCUGGAGGAAAUGUGUCCACCCUCCCAUCCUCCACUCCCACCCACGAACAGGCUAAGGAAGACAGAAUCUCAUCCCUGGUCCUAGGGGCUGCCCCAGGAGUCUAGGUCCAACCACUUCACUUCCUCAGGAGGCUAGACCUGCCACCUGGGGGCGCGGGGCAGGGGGGGCUGUGGGCUGAACACAGGAUUCAGGCUAGGUACCCCAUCCAGUGGGACCCCAAAUUUGAGCAUGGCAGCUGCCCCCUGAGCUCCUGUGAGGUGGAGACGUCACACACUGGCUGGGUGUAAGCUCAGGGAUCUGGCGGGGGUGGAAGGAGGAAGAAGGGCUCACCCCCUGCUGGCUCUCCCUCCCCGUGGGACUCCUUUUCCUUUCCAGGAGGGGAUAUAAGCCCGGAAAGGAAAGCCCUGAGCAGAAGAGGCCUCAGCUUGACCUGACCCAGUGCAGCCCUUGAAACUUCCCUCGCCUUCUACCUCCUGCUCAUCUGCUUCAUAAGCUGUCGCUGUGAGCGGCUGGGGGCUCAAGCAUGGUCUGGUACCAGGAAAUCCAGGCUGUUUUGUGGGGAAACUGAGGCUGGAAUGGUGGAAGCUGGGGAUUAGGAAACUGAGGCAGAAGACGGUGCAGUGCCGGAGAACACACGGCAAGCUGGUUGCUGAACCUUGGUCCGCUACCAGCCCCAGGGAGAGCGCCGGAGCGCGGCCCCGACGGCAGCCGCAGCCUCCUGCGGUGGAGGAUCGAGGCUCUGAACGACCCACACCCCAGCGUCACCUUCCCAGAUGGUGUCGGUGCGCAGGUCGUGGCCUACCAUGGCCACAGUGCUUUUGGCCCUGCUCGUCUACCUGGGGGCGCUGGUCGAGGCCCACCCCAUCAAACCCGAGGCUCCCGGCGAAGACGCCUCCCUGGAGGAGCUGAGCCGCUACUACGCCUCCCUGAGCCACUACCUCAACCUGGUCACCCGGCCGUGGCCGGAGGCGCAGACCUGUGGUGAGGACCCCCGAGGCCUCCUGGGAGAUCUGCAGACCACGCCCACCUCAUUUGCAUGUUCACUCCCGACCCCGGAAACCCGGAUUCCGCCUCCCGACGGCAUCUAGGCAGGGAUCGGGGACCGCAGUCCUGCGUCUCGGUGCGCUCGCCUCUUGAGCUGCAGGGCUGUGUGUGGUCCUUCCCUGGUCCCAAAAUAAAGAGCGAAUUCCACAGAAACGGAA